GCGCCCGUAGCUCAGCUGGAUAGAGCGCUGCCCUCCGGAGGCAGAGGUCAGAGGUUCGAAUCCUCUCGGGCGCACCA
rnacentral:tRNA from 4 species